CGUAGGGGGAACCUGCGGAGGGAUCAUUACCGAGUUAUACAACUCAUCAACCCUGUGAACCUACCUAAACGUUGCUUCGGCGGGAACAGACGGCCCUGAAACGAUGGGCCGCCCCCGCCGAGGACCCCUAUCUCUGUUUUUAUUGAAAUUCUGAGUAAAACAAGCAAAUAAAUCAAAACUUUCAACAACGGAUCUCUUGGCUCUGGCAUCGAUGAAGAACGCAGCGAAAUGCGAUAAGUAAUGUGAAUUGCAGAAUUCAGUGAAUCAUCGAAUCUUUGAACGCACAUUGCGCCCGCCAGUAUUCUGGCGGGCAUGCCUGUUCGAGCGUCAUUACAACCCUCAGGCCCCCGGGCCUGGCGUUGGGGAUCGGCGGAGCCCCCCGCGGGCACACGCCGUCCCCCAAAUACAGUGGCGGUCACGCCGCAGCUUCCAAUGCGUAGUAGCAACACCUCGCAACUGGAGAGCGGCGCGGCCACGCCGUGAAACACCCAACUUUUAGAACGUUGACCUCGAAUCAGGUAGGAAUACCCGCUGAACUUAAGCAUAUCAUAGGCCGGGAGGAA
rnacentral:rRNA from 1 species